rnacentral:rRNA from 1 species
GGCGGAGAUACAUGUCUAGGAGAUUCGGUCGAAUUAAUGUAUCUUAGCGGCGGAUGGGUGAGGAACGCGUGGAGAACCUGCCCUUCACAGGGGGAUAACAGCUGGAAACGGCUGUUAAUACCGCAUAUGCUCACAGGAUCGCAUGAUCCAGGGAGGAAAGCCGAGACGGUGAAGGAUGGCUCCGCGUCGGAUUAGCCAGUUGGCGGGGUAACGGCCCACCAAAGCGAUGAUCCGUAGCCGGCCUGAGAGGGCGACCGGCCACAUUGGGACUGAGACACGGCCCAAACUCCUACGGGAGGCAGCAGUGGGGGAUAUUGCACAAUGGGGGAAACCCUGAUGCAGCGACGCCGCGUGAAGGAGGAAGUGCUUCGGCAUGUAAACUUCUAUCAACAGGGAAGAAGAUGACGGUACCUGACUAAGAAGCCCCGGCUAACUACGUGCCAGCCGCCGC